CGUAACACGUGAGCAACCUGCCUCUUACAACGGGAUAACACAGAGAAAUUUGUGCUAAUACGGUAUGAGACUACGAGAUGGCAUCAUCUAGUGGUUAAAGUUCAGGCGGUAAGAGAGGGGGCUCGCGGCCCAUUAGAUAGUUGGUGAGGUAACGGCUCACCAAGUCGACGAUGGGUAGCCGACCUGAGAGGGGUGAUCGGCCACACUGGAACUGAGAUACGGUCCAGACUCCUACGGGAGGCAGCAG
rnacentral:rRNA from 1 species